GCGGCAGGCUACGCUUGCAAGUUCGAACGGUAACAUCGAAGAAGCUCGCUCCUUUGAUGACGAGUGGCGCACGGGUGCGUAACGCGUAUACAAUCUCGCCUCUUACAGGGGGAUAGCCUUUGGAAACGAAGAAUAAUACCCCAUAGUAUGUAGAUAUCGCAUGGUAAUUACAUUAAAGAUUUAUCGGUAAGAGAUGAGUAUGCGUCCUAUUAGCUAGAUGGUGUGGUAACGGCACACCAUGGCAACGAUAGGUAGGGGCCCUGAGAGGGGGAUCCCCCACACUGGUACUGAGACACGGACCAGACUCCUACGGGAGGCAGCAGUGAGGAAUAUUGGACAAUGGGCGAGAGCCUGAUCCAGCCAUGCCGCGUGCAGGAAGACUGCCCUAUGGGUUGUAAACUGCUUUUAUACGGGAAGAAACCCACCUACGUGUAGGUGGCUGACGGUACCGUAAGAAUAAGCAUCGGCUAACUCCGUGCCAGCAGCCGCGGUAAUACGGAGGAUGCAAGCGUUAUCCGGAAUCAUUGGGUUUAAAGGGUCCGUAGGUGGACAAUUAAGUCAGAGGUGAAAUCCUGCAGCUCAACUGUAGAAUUGCCUUUGAUACUGGUUGUCUUGAAUUAUUGUGAAGUGGUUAGAAUAUGUAGUGUAGCGGUGAAAUGCAUAGAUAUUACAUAGAAUACCAAUUGCGAAGGCAGAUCACUAACAAUAUAUUGACACUGAUGGACGAAAGCGUGGGGAGCGAACGGGAUUAGAUAC
rnacentral:rRNA from 1 species